UACAGAGACUGCAAGCGUUAUUCGGAUUCACUGGGCGUAAAGGGUGCGCAGGCGGCCAAGUGUGUGAGGCGUGAAAGCCCGGGGCUCAACCCCGGAAUUGCACCUCAAACUACAUGGCUAGAGCAUUGGAGAGGGUAGCAGAAUUCAUGGUGUAGCAGUGAAAUGCGUAGAUAUCAUGAGGAAUACCAGAGGCGAAGGCGGCUACCUGGACAAUUGCUGACGCUCAGGCACGAAAGCGUGGGGAGCGAACAGG
rnacentral:rRNA from 1 species